UACGAAGGGGGCUAGCGUUGCUCGGAAUCACUGGGCGUAAAGCGCACGUAGGCGGAUUCCUAAGUCGGGGGUGAAAUCCUGGAGCUCAACUCCAGAACUGCCUUCGAUACUGGGAAUCUUGAGUCCGGGAGAGGUGAGUGGAACUGCGAGUGUAGAGGUGAAAUUCGUAGAUAUUCGCAAGAACACCAGUGGCGAAGGCGGCUCACUGGCCCGGUACUGACGCUGAGGUGCGAAAGCGUGGGGAG
rnacentral:rRNA from 1 species